AUUAAGUGAUGUCACGGCCAAACUCUUGCUCCUAACAAGGCCCAGCUGGGCCCUGGCCCUGGAGAAAUGCAUGUUGGCAGUGAACUGGGGACUGGCCUCCCUCGACCUGCCCAGGGGCCAGUCCCCCCCCUCCCCACCACCCCCACUUCCUGGGCCUCUGGGAGCAGGCCAGUUUCUUUUCCAGGGGCCAUUGUGGCCACUGAGAGGGAAGAGGCCAUCGUUCCAAGUCACAGAAAGAUAUUUUUGGUGAUUUGCAAACACUCUCCAUUCACCACUGCAAAGGGAAUGCAUCUAAAGUGAAUUCCACCGGCCGCUUUAGGAGCUCAAGGCCCGGCCUGGCUUUCCUUCCUUGGCAGAAGUUGCCAGCUCCAGCCCUGUGGCUUUAGUUCUCGAAGUUGUCAGCUUGGAAGACAGAGGGAGCAUUAAGGGAAGAGAUUAUGUAUUAAGGAAAAUAAGCAGUGGCCUAUAAAUUACCUCAAGUGAAUAAACAAAGUCUGCCUUGGAAAUAGGCUUCUGGGGGAAGGUGAGAGCGAUACACGGGAAUGUAUGAAAUCGGAGAGAAAUGUGUCAAAAACAAAUUACAAACCUUCCCGAUGCAGGAUUACACAUGAAUGGAUGGUAAUAACCACGCCAUCAGUCACACCCCAACGUGUGCGCUGCGGCUUCAUCUCACCACCCAGCGUCAGCUCUCAGGUCAUUAAUGAGCAGCCGCGGUUCUGGAGAGCAGAACAGGAGCGGGACCGGAGGAUGCUGGUUCUGCUUCCAUCGCGUGAUUCAUUUCCUUAUCGACUUCUCUUUUUCUGCCCUCGUGUUGCUAAAAAUGACUUCUGAAGAAAAACAAAGAGCCUUCUUUCAAAAGGAAAAGCUCCAAGUCUGUGCUCUCAGAGUUCACCAGCGAUACAGAGAGGAGACUGCGUCCCUCAAAGAGACUUAAUUAAAGGAACUUACUCGCUCCUUUACACCUAACACCAGAAAACAGCCACGAGAAGUUUUCUGUGUUAACACCACACUUUCCCUUCUUCUCCCCUCGGUAGCGGCAUCUCUCUGUUUCAUGAGAGCUGAACCACUCCACACAAAGAAGAGUUUACUCCAAUACAAACAGAAAUUAUAGGAAGUAUAAAAACCCCACUAAACCCUUUAAUCUCUAACUUUCCAAGCAGGUGAAUUAAUAGAGAGGACAGUCGAGAUUUAUUUCCUCUAAGCUCCAACAGUAAAGAGUGUUUCAAAGUCAUUCUCAAAGCUCUGGAGAUUUUUCAAAUCCAAAUGAACCAAGCUUAACUCUGUCGUGAGAUAUAUAAUAAAACCGACUCCAGGAUUCACCUCCUUAAAGGUAUAGGGUACCUUUGGAUAAGAGAAAAUGAAAUCACAGCAUUCAAACAUAUGUGGCUCUAAUAGUUAAAAAUUUCGACUAAGGGUUUCUUGCUUCAAGCAUAAACUCAAGCUCCUCAAUGGAUGAUGUGAAUCUUAAUUUUAAAAUGAGCCCAAAAAGCAAUUAACUAGAGUGUACACCAGAUGAAGGGAACAAAGUAUAUGCACGUUUACCUGUAAGAACAGUGUCCCCUACCCUGUAAUUCCAGACACAUCAUCAUCACAUGCAUUCGAGCUCAGAACUGCCAGAAGGUCCCUUAUUCUUCUUGAUCCUUGUCACAGCACCUCCUGGAAACUGCUUGUUAUGUAAGAGAAGGUGUAAAUGGUUUUCUUGUCCCUGAAUUUCUUGUCUUACAUAAGACAACACUAAGCAUAUUUCAAAUAAAAGAGUUACAAUUAUCAAUAGCCAUGUCAAAGAUUAAAUACCCAAGCUGAGACAGCCGAGUUAAAAAAGAUGAUAAACUAACACAGAAAGCUUUGAUUUUUCUAGGUAGGGUCUGAAAGGAUACUGUUGAAAAAAAGCAAAAGAAGAGUCAGGAGGCCUUUGGGGAUUAUGGAGUACCAGUCAUUCGGUAACACAGUUAGGACCAAAAAAAAAAAAAAAAAAGUUCGUCAGAUGUUUGUUUUACACUGUAGCAAUUAUCCAAGCUGAAUAAACAAGUGGGCUCUGAAAGGAAGGUUUUGGAGGAAGGUGAGAAGUGUAUGCACAGCUAAGUGAGGUCAGAACGAUGCAAGUUAAUUUAUUGUGCUGAAGUGGAAGCAUCCAUGACGAGAAUGGCCUUCGGACCAUGUCAGAUUCAUCAACAUCCCACAGGAGGCCCAAGAAAUGGAACUCACGACUCCACAUCCCAACACCUUCUAGACACCACCGGAUAAAGGAUGUGAGUGUGUGUCCUGAAUAAACAUGAGCAAUGACCAGGCACUGCCGGACAUGUCAGAGACGUAUAAUCCACUUUAAAUUAAUUUUGAAUUCAUCAAAACACACUUUGCAAAGUAACUUACUGACAAUGAUUCCAGAGACGCUUAAAAAACAUAUUCGAGCUUUGCCGAGAUACAGUUCCCAGACUGUAUCAUUUAGCCAAUUAACGUGUACAGUGGGGGAGAGAGUCUGAGAUGAACAGAUGCUCGCUACUAUGGAUAAACGAGAUAAACAACAAGGACCUACUGUAGAGCACCGGGAACUAUGGCCAGUACCCUGUAAUAACCUAAAAUGCAGAUGAAUCUGAAAAAGGAGGUAACUGAAUCACUUUGCUGUACACCUGAAACAAACACACUAUAAAUCAAUUCCACUUCAAUUAAAGCAUAAUAAAAACAUCACCAAUGUCAAGAGAAAAGAAGAGAAAAUACACGAGAAGAGGCACACGUUCUUGGGGGGCGCAUUCCUCGGACUUCGUUGUUGUUGGGUUUCUCAUGAUUUCCCGUGGUAAAAGAGCUCCAUCCGCCUGGCUGCCAAAUAAACUCUCUUCCCAAAUAAAGUGAGAGCGGGCAAGAGAAAAACUGCUCAUUCGCAAAACGGAGACUCACCGAGUUAAAAAAUUAAGUUGUACAGAUCAGAAAUGUAAUCAUAGGAGACAAGCUCUGAGAGUUUUUCAAUCACUGUGGGGCUGCAUCAAUUUAAAGUCAUGUUACAUUAAAGAGAAAAACGUCUCCAAGAGUCUCCCUGUGUCACUUUAGAUUAGAUUUGUUGUUGUUAUCAGGCUGUGCAUUUUGUCGGCUUUAUUUUACAUUUUAAAGAUAUUGCUUAAUGCCCAUAAAUAAGAAACGUCACCUAUGACUUGUUCUCAGCCACCCAGGGAAUAGGAGACAGCACAAAUUAACACAGAGAAUAAAACCUCAUGUCCGUCAAGAUUCGUAUUAACUAACUCCACAUCCAGUGAUUUUAACUCCGUUCCCCUUAAUUGAAGAGUUAUACAAAAAAAUCAAGCUGUGGUCCACUUCCCUUCACCUGUCCUACCACGUAGGAGGCAAGUGGACAGUCCCAUCCAGUUUGUCUCAAUGUCUCGUCAAGUGCGACUUCCUUCAUCUCGCCAGGCUCUUGUUAAAGGGUCUAUGAGUUUAAUCCUGGGCUCCCAGGGCUUCUAAACAUCAGGAGGCAUAAAAGUGACACUUCACCAAUUUAAGUGAUAAGUUUUCAAAUUGUGAGGCAUCUAAUUGUAACAAUAAAUUCCCUUUGCUUUCCUCCAUGGCCAGACAUCUGUAUCUUUAACAAACAAAAGUGGCAGUUUAAAAACAAUUAGACUCUGCAACCCUCGCGGAUAAAUGUCAGUCUCCACAGACGGCACGUAACUCGGAAGUGCGUCUCCACGUCCUGGCCCACGCAGGCCAAGCACAUGCAGAGUUAGGGGAGGCCCUGGCCUGGAAGUAACGCCUUGCUCGCUUUGCUUUCUGGGGUGGAGAUGGAGGUGCACAUCCAAACAACAACAGAGGAAACUUGAAGGCCUCACCGGGACGAAGACGAAUGCAGCAACGGCAUCACUACGCACUCUCUUUUCCCUUAGAAGCAGGAGAGUGGACGGCGUACUGGUGGGCAGUACCAUCGGAUAAAAGGCUGUUUGCCAGCUCCCACAUUCCAACCCUCACACCCACCAACGAACGGCCACCUAGUGACAAGGACAUGAAGCACACACAACGAAGGACAAGGGUGGUGGAAAACUCGAGGGGCCUGGAUAGGAAUGGGCCUCUGCUUCCCACGGAAAUACAAGAAGCUGGCAUCUGGGUUCUGCACUGGCUCUGAGCUGCCAAGGGCAUGAAGUCUGCAAGGAUCUCUGAGGGUCACGGACGAUGCUCCACUUCCGGCUUAUAUGCUGACUUCAGAACCUGCCCCUGCAGGCGAUGGGUCUCCAGGGCCUUCGGGGCAGACAGAAUUAUUUAUCCCUGUCUCCCUAUACAUUAAACACCCUUUCCUGGGAGGUGAGAUAACUGUGUGCCGAACGAAUGGGCAAGUCUUAUAUUUAACGUUUCAAGCAGGUAAGCAACACUUCACACGACAGCCAAUCAGAGAUUUCUCUUCUGAGCCCCCAUUAAUCUCUCUGGUCUCUAUUAAGGUCGGAAGCUCAGAACCCGGCAGAACAGUCUAGUGAGGCUCUGAUUGCGUCAGGAGGAUCAGGCUCCACAUGGCAGGGCAGUGUUCUGUCCCUGGUACUGCUCUGGCCCCUGUGAUCGUUCAGGGACCUUUAUUCAUUAUCUGCUGCUCAAAUAAAGGCUAUUGCCUCCUUGUCUACUGCCUCCUCUUACAUCUUUCAUUUGUUUUUGUUUUUUCCUUUCUUCCCAACCAAGGUUAUACCUAUAUAAACACUGUUUCUACCAACCAAGUGUCCUCACUUUGGGUACCAUCUAUCCUCUCUACGCACCCUUGGAGGCAGGGAGGGAAGUUAGGACGAAGCACGAAGGCAGCACUGGAUUUGUAUUACUGUGUCUGAGCAGCAAGAUGCCAGCUCAGCAGGGCGGGCAGAACAAUCCCACUCCCAAAGGCGUCCAAGUCCUGGUCCUCGGAACCUGCGAAUACAGGUCAGGCAGCAAAAGGGAUUCCGGUUGCAGGUGAAAUUAAGGUUGCCUAUCAGCUGAACUUAGAGCAAUGACCUUGGAUUAUCGAGGUGGGCCAAUGGAAGCACAAGGGGCCUGAAAGGUGGAAGGAGGUGGCAGAAGAGGAGUGUCGCAGGAAGACAUUCAGUAAAGAGAACGGCACCUUGCUCGCUGGGGCCACGGCCAAGGAAUGGGGCAGCUAGAAAGGCAGGGAAAGAGAUUCUCCCUGGAGCUUCCAGAGGGAAUGCAGCCCAGCUAACACCUCAAUCCCAGCCCAGUGAGGCCCGUGUCAGACUUCUAUCCUGCACAACUGUAAGAGAAUAAAUGCCUGGAGUUCAGCUGCUGAGUUUGUGCUAAUGUGUCACAGCAGCAAGAAGAAACUAAUACGACUACAACGGGUAUAAGGGGUGUAAGUCAUCAGUCAAGCCACUGGUUUGCUGAUCUGCCAGUCUCCAAGCAAAUGGAUCAUCUGCUUUAAAAUAAUUAGGCCACACUUUUGGGGUCAAAAUGAUUUUUUUAUCGUCUUUAUUACUUUUGUCAUGGGUGGAGGUGACAGUGACAGGCUCAUGGCAGCAAGCACCGAGUACGUGGUGAUUUGCAGGGCUUGUCAUCAAACCCUGACACAGACCCCAAGAGGUAAGAGCAAUUACGAACCACAUUUUAAAGAUGGGGAAACAAGUUCAGAGGGGUCUGGCACCUGGCCAAAGACCACAAAGGGAGGGACUGGCGGGGCCUGGACAUGAACCCUUCAGUCUGACCUUGAAAACACUCAAAAACACUCAGAGGCUUCUGGCAAGAGCAACAGCAGUGACCUUGGGUGACUAGCCUGUGGCAGGGAUAGGGAUCCUGAGACCCAAGGGUCUGUGAGGUCAGCAUGAAAGAUAGCAGACAGGCAAGGGGGCUCUGAUCAGCCAGCUGCCCCCCCCCCCAGCCCACUGGCCACAACUGGGGGGGACAGCCCAGCCACCAGUUUCGGCAAGCACAAGAGCCAAGGGAGGCUCAGAGCAAAGCAUGACACGUCGAUCAGCUCCUGCUCUGUGGCAGUGGGGCCUGUC
rnacentral:lncRNA from 1 species